CCUACGGGGGGCUGCAGUUUCGAAUCAUUCACAAUGGGCGAAAGCCUGAUGGUGCGACGCCGCGUGAGGGAUGAAGGUCUUCGGAUUGUAAACCUCUGUCACUGGGGAGAAAACGCUUUGAGUUAAUAGUUCAAAGCCUGAUUUAACCCGGAGAGGAAGCAGUGGCUAACUCUGUGCCAGCAGCCGCGGUAAUACAGAGACUGCAAGCGUGGGUCUGAUUCACUGGGCGUCAAGGGGGCGCAGCCGGUGUGAAAUCCCGAGGCUUAACCUCGGAACUGCGUCUGAAACUACUCGACUAGAGUACUGGAGAGGGAAACGGAAUUCACGGUGUAGCAGUGAAAUGCGUAGAUAUCGUGAGGAACACCAGAGGCGAAGGCGGUUUCCUGGACAGUUACUGACGCUCAGGCACGAAAGCAUGGGGAGCAAAAGGGAUUAGAUACCCUGGUAGUC
rnacentral:rRNA from 1 species